UUACGGUCAUAUCACGUUGAAACACCGUUACCGUACGAUCAUCGAAGUUAAGCAAGGUAAAGCCUAACCAGUAUCUAGAUGGGUGACCGCUUUGGAAUACCAGGUAAUGU